AUCACAAGUGUUUUCGCGACCGACUGAAAGACAGAUUUCUUAUAGUAGUUAGUGAAUUUAAUUUAUAUUUGAACCUUUGAUUUAAUAUCAGGUUUUAAAAUCAAAUUUCAAGCGAGUACCCGAAUCUGUUUCAGACUUAGUCGUUUAAACAAACUAAGAGUCAGAUCAGCAGAACUCGAGAACACGGAAAUGUCUGCUGUAACUGCGUCACCGUACUGGACUUUGCUGUUUGUCGUGUUUGUUUCUGCAGAUCAGAAAAUCAUCCCAGCAAAGUCUGGACAGGACGUCACUCUGACAUGUCGAGCUCCAAACAACAAAAUCAAAUUUCUACACUGGAGCAGCCGAGAUGACCUGGGAGUUAAAUAUGUCCUUUUGUACCAGGAUGGUCACUUUUUUCCAGAUAACCAGCAUCCAUCUUUUAAGAACCGGGUGGAUCUGCAGGACAGACAGAUGAAGGAUGGAGACGUGUCUUUGAUUCUGAAGAAUGUGACGAUUAAUGAUGCUGAAACAUACGAGUGUCGUGUCUUCAUGGAAGAAACUCACUCAUGGGAGCUCAUCAGCAUCAUCUACCUGAUUGUUGAUCCUCCAGGUGAGUGAGUAGAGUUGAGUGUGUGUGUGAUCAGAGGUGAAGCUGCUUCCUGGUUGUUGAUGUGUGUUUGUUGUAUGGAUGAGCUGGUGGAUGUCAGAGGUAGACAGAUGUUUCUCCAGCUGUUGUCUUUGUGGCUGGUAGUCUAGAGUUGUAGAGCAGCAUUGUUUGGUUAGAGCAGAAACAAAGACAUUUAUGAAUCCGUCUCUUCUUCUCUUGCUCUCUAACUCGUCUGUAAACAUGUGUGGGGAAACUCAAUGUUAAAGC